rnacentral:lncRNA from 1 species
UUGACAUUUUGUUAAUUCGUUUAUUAAUGGCUGAAAUGAUUACCGACUCUCUUUCAGCUGCCAACUAUGUGGCUAUCUCCAAGCUUUGCAGACAUCACCAUCAGUUGUUGCUGCUGGAUUGGUUAUUGAUUAUCUUAUUAUAUCGCCAGCAACACAACUGUGAGAUUAAUUGAUACGUGGUUAUGCAAGGCUGCCAUGACUCCAACUCCGCCAUUUGGACUCAUAAGGACGAUUCAAGGUAAGUAAUCUAAUCCAUUAGUUAUGGUAUGUUACAUGCUAUUUCUAACACAUUAAACCUAUUUCUACAAAUAUCAGCUCUCUCAUCUCUUUCCCUCUUUUAGUUCUCCAUACACACACUCUCUAUUUCAAUGAGUAUUGUUGCAGCUGUACGAAAAGUAAAGAUCAAAUUUAGUAGUUAGAAAUAAUGAAUCUUUCCCUCCCUGUAUGUGUAAACUCUCCAUUUCACCUUUAUUUUCUGGAUUUCUCCUUCUUAUAUCAAUAACAAUAAUUUUCCGGUUUUCUCAGUGUUUGCUGUUUAGAAAAUUAUUGCGGAAACUAUAUUUUUUGUUCUCAGAUAAAGCGGUAAAAGUUAUUGGAAAGAUUAGUCAACGCUUGGCCUAAAUAAAGUUACUAAUUCUACCGUUCUACUACAAGGACAUGUUAGUUGUCAUGAUUAUUGGUAAGUACUAUUUGGACACAAUUUUUUCUCAAAUCUCACACACUAAGGAGCACAUGCCUUUCAAUUAAACACAUCCUUUCAAUAACCUUUACUUUUAACAAAAGUCUGUAGUGAAAUUAACUACAAAUUGCCCUCAUCCUGGAAUAACCAUAUUCAAACUUAAUCAUCAUAUAGCUGUUGUUGAGGAUAAUUGUAAAAUUCUCUUUUACUCCUUUUUCCAUAAGGUAACUCAUAGUUGAUUAAGUGCCCGUUAAAAUUCUCUUUUAUUCCUUUAUCUAUAAGGUAACUCAUACUUGAUUAAGUGCCCAUUUAGAUUGACUUGUUUUAGGUGUUUUAAAGCAAAAUGCUUAUAAGAACUUAUUUCUAAGUCAAAAUAACAAAAUUAAGCCAAAGUCAAUCCAAACAGGCUUUAUAUCUUCUUUGUUUUACCCCUCCAUAGUUCCCUAAUCCUUUUUGCUUUUCAUUAUAGGAUAAAUACUAGAGCUACCAUUCUUUAAACUCACCGGUUUAAAGAAAAAAGUAGUUUAAUUUGAGAAGAAAUGAAACUACGUAGCACAAGAAAAAUGGAAAAGUUGUAUGUCUGCUCAUUACAAUGAUCUCCGAGAUAAUGAUACUUUAUGCCCAAUCAGUUCUUGGAUGAUCUGCAGAAUAUCCUUAUAUGUGAGGGAAAGAACACGCAAAAAAUUAUCUUACACAAAUUAGUUUCCCAAUAAGUAUUGAGUUAAGCAUUUGACAGAUUUUACUAAAUGAAUUUUAGAAACUAAUACUCUUCUUAGAAUAAGUCUAUCUAACCAAAGACAACAUAGUUGUCAACAAGUAGAAGCGUGGUUGUGGAAAUUUGAAGGGGAGAAGAAAAACUUCUUAGAACAAUAUAAAAGUGCUCUUCUAGGCUACAACAAUUAUAUUUAUAAAAAGAAAAAUUCAUAGAGUGUCCCCUACUUUUCAUAACAUGUGUUAUGUUAGAUGGAUAUCACUUUCAAUUUUUUUGGUAUAAUGUGCUUCAUUAGUUCUUUUCAAUUUCUCAUUGUGGCUUUUGUUUAGCGUAAUAUACAUGCUUAACCUGCCUUGAGUAGAAGAAAGAGUUGUACUAUAAAGUUCAGUGGUUUCAUUAAAUAUCAUUGAACUUUAAUAGAUCAUUGAUGAAACAUAGGAGGUGAUUUCAAUUGUUGUAGUAGGAAUGUUAAUCUUUGUGAUGAAAUUUAAUAAACACAACUGAAAGUUCUCAAGAGAAGUACAAUAAAAAACUUUCUUUUUCAUUGUUUCGGCCAACUACAUUUACUAUUGAUGUUGGAUAGCUUUUAUUAUUUACAAUUUGUAGUAUCAAGUUCAGAGCACCUUACUUGAAGUAGGAUUAUAGUGUUGAGUUUGGAGUACGUUUUUAUUGUAAUUUGAUUUUUUUUUAUCUUUUCAAGUACACAGAAAGUGUAUAUUGACACCUCCUUUUCUAUGAUGUUUUCUUAAAAUAGAUAAAGUAUUGUGUAUUAUAAUCGCAAAACUAAAACCUCAUAUUGUUCAACUGCCACAAUUGUUUCAUUUGGCCAAGUUUGAGAUCUACUGAUUUUAUAGCAACAAAUUUGUGAUAUGCAUACUGCAAG